UACGUAGGGUGCGAGCGUUGUCCGGAAUUAUUGGGCGUAAAGAGCUCGUAGGCGGUCUGUCGCGUCGAUCGUGAAAACUUGGGGCUUAACCCUGAGCUUGCGGUCGAUACGGGCAUGACUGGAGUUCGGCAGGGGGGACUGGAAUUCCUGGUGUAGCGGUGAAAUGCGCAGAUAUCAGGAGGAACACCAAUGGCGAAGGCAGCUCACUGGGACGGUAUUGACGCUGAGACGCGAAAGCGUGGGGAGCAAACAGG
rnacentral:rRNA from 1 species